CAAUGGGGUCAAUGAGGACGUUGGGGGUGUUGGGGUCAUUGGGGACAGUGGGGUCAAUGGGGUCAGUGGGGUCAACGGGGUCAACGGGGAUGUUGGGGUCAAUGGGGCCAAUGGGGUCAACGAGGAUGUUGGGGGUGUUGGGGUCAUUGGGGUCAAUGGGGUCAACGGGGACGUUGGGGUCAAUGGGGACAGUGGGGUCAAUGGGGACACUGGGGUCAAUGGGGACGUUGGGGUCAGUGGGGACAAUGGGGUCAACAGGGACAGUGGGGUCAAUGAGGACAUUGGGGUCAAUGGGGACGCUGGGGUCAAUGGGGACAGUGGGGUCCAUGAGGAUGUUGGGGGUGUUGGGGUCAUUUGGGGUCAAUGUGGUCAAUGGGGACGUUGGGGUGUUGGGGUAAAUGGGGUCAGUGAGGCCAAUGGGGUCAAUGGGGACACUGGGGUCAAUGAGGACAUGGGGGGUGUUGGGGUCAGUGGGGUCAUUGGGGUCUUUGGGGUCAGUGGGGUCGUUCGGGACACACUGGGGUCAGCGGGGUCAUUGGGGUCAGUGGGGUCAGGGGGGUCAUUGGGGUCGUUUGGGACACACUGGGGUCAGUGGGGUCAGUGGGGUCAGUGGGGUCAGUGCGUCCCCCUGCCCCCAUUGGGGUCGCCCCACCUCAUCCUCGCAGUAUUUGCGGAUGACGUCCAGGGCGCCUUCGGUGAUGAGCGGCGCCUCCAGCAC
rnacentral:lncRNA from 1 species